UGAGAGUUUGAUCCUGGCUCAGGAUGAACGCUGGCGGUCUGCUUAACACAUGCAAGUCGAACGCAACCUUCGGGUUGAGUGGCGGACGGGUGAGUAACGCGUGAGAAUCUGCCUUGGGGUCGGGGACAACCACUGGAAACGGUGGCUAAUACCGGAUACGCCUUCGGGUAAAAGAUUUAUUGCCCUAAGAGGAGCUCGCGUCUGAUUAGCUAGUUGGUGAGGUAAGAGCUCACCAAGGCAGCGAUCAGUAGCUGGUCUGAGAGGACGAUCAGCCACACUGGGACUGAGACACGGCCCAGACUCCUACGGGAGGCAGCAGUGGGGAAUUUUCCGCAAUGGGCGAAAGCCUGACGGAGCAAGACCGCGUGAGGGAGGAAGGCUCUUGGGUUGUAAACCUCUUUUCUCAGGGAAGAAGCUCUGACGGUACCUGAGGAAUCAGCCUCGGCUAACUCCGUGCCAGCAGCCGCGGUAAUACGGAGGAGGCAAGCGUUAUCCGGAAUUAUUGGGCGUAAAGCGUCCGCAGGUGGCGAUUCAAGUCUGCUGUCAAAGCACGGGGCUUAACUCCGUAAAGGCAGUGGAAACUGAAUAGCUAGAGUGCCGUAGGGGUAGAGGGAAUUCCCGGUGUAGCGGUGAAAUGCGUAGAGAUCGGGAAGAACAUCGGUGGCGAAAGCGCUCUACUGGACGGCAACUGACACUCAGGGACGAAAGCUAGGGGAGCGAAUGGGAUUAGAUACCCCAGUAGUCCUAGCUGUAAACGAUGGAUACUAGGUGUAGCUUGUAUCGACCCGAGCUGUGCCGAAGCUAACGCGUUAA
rnacentral:rRNA from 1 species